rnacentral:rRNA from 1 species
UGGGGAAUAUUGGACAAUGGGCGCAAGCCUGAUCCAGCAAUGCCGCGUGUGUGAAGAAGGCCUUCGGGUUGUAAAGCACUUUUAUCAGGAGCGAAACGCUGUCGGCUAAUACCCGGCGGAACUGACGGUACCUGAGGAAUAAGCACCGGCUAACUUCGUGCCAGCAGCCGCGGUAAUACGAAGGGUGCAAGCGUUAAUCGGAAUUACUGGGCGUAAAGCGUGCGUAGGCGGUUUCUUAAGUCUGCUGUGAAAUCCCCGGGCUCAACCUGGGAAUGGCAGUGGAUACUGGGAGGCUAGAGUGUGUCAGAGGGUGGUGGAAUUCCCGGUGUAGCGGUGAAAUGCGUAGAGAUCGGGAGGAACAUCAGUGGCGAAGGCGGCCACCUGGGACAACACUGACGCUGAGGCACGAAAGCGUGGGGAGCAAACAGGAUUAGAUACCCUGGUAGUCCACGCCCUAAAAGCGAUGCGAACUGGAUGUUGGUCUCAACUCGGAGAUCAGUGUCGAAGCUAACGCGUUAAGUUCGCCGCCUGGGGGAGUACGGUCGCAAGACUGAAACUCAAAUGAAUUGAC